rnacentral:rRNA from 1 species
UACGAGAGGACCGGGACGAACGAACCUCCAGUAUACCUGUUGUUCUACCAAGAGCAAACGCAGGGUAGCUGUGUUCGGAGCGGAUAAGUGCUGAAAGCAUAUAAGUACGAAGCCCACCACAAGAUAAGUUCUCUCUCUGGGUAACCAGGUAAGUCCCCGAACAGAUUAUUCGGUUGAUAGGUUGGAAGUGGAAGUGUGGCAACACAUGCAGCUGACCAAUACUAAUAGGACGAGGGCUUCUCCUA